GAUGAACGCUAGCGACAGGCUUAACACAUGCAAGUCGAGGGGCAGCACGGGAGUAGCAAUACAACUGGUGGCGACAGGCGCACGGGUGAGUAACGCGUAUGCAACCUACCUAUCAGAGGGGAAUAACCCGGCGAAAGUCGGACUAAUACCGCAUAAAACAGGGGCCCCGCAUGGGGAUAUUUGUUAAAGAAAUUCGCUGAUAGAUGGGCAUGCGUUCCAUUAGGUAGUUGGUGAGGUAACGGCUCACCAGGCCGACGAUGGAUAGGGGAACUGAGAGGUUGGUCCCCCACACUGGUACUGAGACACGGACCAGACUCCUACGGGAGGCAGCAGUGAGGAAUAUUGGUCAAUGGGCGAGAGCCUGAACCAGCCAAGUCGCGUGAAGGAAGAAGGAUCUAUGGUUCGUAAACUUCUUUUGCAGGGGAAUAAAGUGCAGGACGUGUCCUGUUUUGUAUGUACCCUGAGAAUAAGGAUCGGCUAACUCCGUGCCAGCCGCCGCGGUAAUAC
rnacentral:rRNA from 1 species